UUAGCUCGCCAGUGCGAGGCUCGUUCCCACACAACAAGUAAUGGUGGUGCAACUCCCCCGUCCUCCCGAACGUCAUCGGGACCA
rfam:Cacao yellow mosaic virus virion protein gene